rnacentral:rRNA from 1 species
CGGGAAAAGCUCAAAUUUAAAAUCUGGUGGCCUUUGGCCAUCCGAGUUGUAAUUUAGAGAAGCGUCUUCCGCGCUGGACCGUGCACAAGUCUCCUGGAAUGGAGCGUCAUAGAGGGUGAGAAUCCCGUCUUUGGCACGGACUCCCGGUGCUUUGCGAUGCGCUCUCGAC